rnacentral:rRNA from 1 species
CCUGACUGCUAUCGGAUUGAUACUAAGCCAUGCGAGUCAUUGUAGCAAUACAAGGCAGACGGCUCAGUAACGCGUAGUCAACCUACCCUAUGGACGGGAAUAACCUCGGGAAACUGAGAAUAAUGCCCGAUAGAACACUAUACCUGGAAUGGUUUGUGUUCCAAAUAAUUUAUUGCCGUAGGAUGGGACUGCGGCCUAUCAGUUUGUUGGUGAGGUAAUGGCCCACCAAGACUAUUACAGGUACGGGCUCUGAGAGGAGUGGCCCGGAGAUGGGUACUGAGACACGGACCCAGGCCCUAUGGGGCGCAGCAGGCGAGAAAACUUUGCAAUGUGCGAAAGCACGACAAGGUUAAUCCGAGUGGUUUCUGCUAAAGGAACCUUUUGACAGUCCUAGAAACACUGUUGAAUAAGGGGUGGGCAAGUUCUGGUGUCAGCCGCCGCGGUAAAACCAGCACCUCAAGUGGUCAGGAUGAUUAUUGGGCCUAAAGCAUCCGUAGCCGGCUCUGUAAGUUUUCGGUUAAAUCUGUACGCUUAACGUACAGGCUGCUGGGAAUACUGCAGGGCUAGGGAGUGGGAGAGAUAGACGGUACUCGGGAGGAAGUGGUAAAAUGCUUUGAUCUCUCGAUGACCACCUGUGGCGAAGGCGGUCUAUCAGAACACGUCCGACGGUGAGGGAUGAAAGCUGGGGGAGCAAACCGGAUUAGAUACCCGGGUAGUCCCAGCUGUAAACUAUGCAAACUCAAUGAUGCAUUGACUUAUGGUCAAUGCAGUGUUGCAGGGAAGCCGUUAAGUUUGCCGCCUGGGAAGUACGUACGCAAGUAUGAAACUUAAAGGAAUUGGCGGGGGAGCACAAGCAAGGGGUGAAGCCUGCGGUUC